AUUGAACGCUGGCGGCAUGCUUUACACAUGCAAGUCGAACGGUAACAGGCCGCAAGGUGCUGACGAGUGGCGAACGGGUGAGUAAUGCAUCGGAACGUGCCCAGUCGUGGGGGAUAACUACUCGAAAGAGUAGCUAAUACCGCAUACGAUCUAUGGAUGAAAGCGGGGGACCGUAAGGACUCGCGCGAUUGGAGCGGCCGCUGUCAGAUUAGGUAGUUGGUGGGGUAAAGGCUCACCAAGCCAACGAUCUGUAGCUGGUCUGAGAGGACGACCAGCCACACUGGGACUGAGACACGGCCCAGACUCCUACGGGAGGCAGCAGUGGGGAAUUUUGGACAAUGGGCGCAAGCCUGAUCCAGCAAUGCCGCGUGCAGGAAGAAGGCCUUCGGGUUGUAAACUGCUUUUGUACGGAACGAAACGGCUCUGGUUAAUACCCGGGGCUAAUGACGGUACCGUAAGAAUAAGCACCGGCUAACUACGUG
rnacentral:rRNA from 1 species